AUGUCUGGUCUCAACAUCGCCUCGAGAAGUUCGGAAAAGCUGCUUUUCUUUGGGUUUUUGGUUUUGGUUCGGUCGGUCUUGUGUCAUGGGUUUGCUGAGGAGUUCACCGCAGGCUCUUAUGAUUUUGGGUCUGUUAUUCUGGAGCCUCUGGACAGGUUGAGAAAGUACGUGGAGUCCAUUGUCGGCACCCAUGUGAUUGAGAUUGGUGCUGAGAAUGCUGUGUUGUACCUUGACUCAGUGUUUGGCCCAGAGAACAUCUAUUCUGUUGCAAUGUUUGUCGAAAUGUUGCUGAAGUUUGUUGCUGAAGGAGCUGCCAGUGGACUGAAUGUCAUUGCUGUGUAUGUAUCUGAGAUUCUCAGAGCUACAGGAGUGAACGAGACAGUAUCAGUGCCUCAUUUCACUGCUGAGGGCGUGUCUGCUGUGACCAAGUGGGCGUUGCUGGCUCUGAUCUCCUACUGGCUCUUGUCCUUGUUGCUGUGAGUCACGGUAAUGCUUGUAAGGCGAGUGUUUUGGCUGAUUAAAGCGGUUGUAGUGCUGUGGCUGUUUGUGCGGAUCAUCGGGGACCCCACUGCCUCCAAUCAAGUCACUACAAUGAGACUGAUUUUACUAGUGCUCAUCUGUGCUGUGUUUGGAGUCGCUACGAGCAGCGGCGGUGGGACAGGAGGCAGUCUGGAAAGCCGAAUGAGCAGACUGGAGGGACAAGUCAGAGGGCUGGAAAAGAAGAAAAUGAGCAGCAAUGAGAAGCGAUGAGCAGUAAUCUGCAGCUCAAAACAAGUAUAUGGACUCAUGAUAACAGGAGAUGAGGACUCAGGGAUGACGUGUUUUAUGCAACUCAGAACAGCCUUAGGUAUUAAUAUCUGAUUUUGCCAGUUCUUUCUUGUUUUGAAUACAUUUCAUAGUUAAUUGGGCCACAGAGACUACAUUUUAAUAAAAACAAUAUGUGAGUAAAGCA
ensembl:lncRNA